rnacentral:rRNA from 1 species
UGAUUCGUCACACUAUCGUUAACUGAAUACAUAGGUUAACGAGGCGAACCGGGGGAACUGAAACAUCUAAGUACCCCGAGGAAAAGAAAUCAACCGAGAUUCCCCCAGUAGCGGCGAGCGAACGGGGAGCAGCCCAGAGUCUGAAUCAGCUUGUGUGUUAGUGGAACGGUCUGGAAAGUCCGACGGUACAGGGUGAUAGUCCCGUACACCAAAAUGCACAGGUU